GGAGGGGUGGCUGAGUGGUUUAAGGCAACGGUCUUGAAAACCGUCGUAUUGAAAGGUACCGCGAGUUCGAAUCUCGCCCCCUCCGCCA
rnacentral:tRNA from 1 species